rnacentral:rRNA from 1 species
GGCUUAGAGUUUGAUCAUGGCUCAGGAUGAACGCUGGCGGCGUGCUUAACACAUGCAAGUCGAACGGAGAGCGUAUGACAGAGGAUUCGUCCAAUGGAUUACGUUUCUUAGUGGCGGACGGGUGAGUAACGCGUGAGGAACCUGCCUCGGAGUGGGGAAUAACACAACGAAAGCUGUGCUAAUACCGCGUGAUGCAGCUGGGUCGCAUGACUCUGGCUGCCAAAGAUUUAUCGCUCUGAGAUGGCCUCGCGUCUGAUUAGCUGGUUGGCGGGGUAACGGCCCACCAAGGCGACGAUCAGUAGCCGGACUGAGAGGUUGGCCGGCCACAUUGGGACUGAGACACGGCCCAGACUCCUACGGGAGGCAGCAGUGGGGAAUAUUGGGCAAUGGGCGCAAGCCUGACCCAGCAACGCCGCGUGAAGGAAGAAGGCCCUCGGGUUGUAAACUUCUUUUGUCAGGGACGAAGCAAGUGACGGUACCUGACGAAUAAGCCACGGCUAACUACGUGUCAGCAGCCGCGGUAAUACGUAGGUGGCAAGCGUUAUCCGGAUUUACUGGGUGUAAAGGGCGUGUAGGCGGGAUUGCAAGUCAGAUGUGAAAACCACGGGCUCAACCUGUGGCCUGCAUUUGAAACUGCAGUUCUUGAGUACUGGAGAGGCAGACG